rfam:Rattus norvegicus chromosome 1, whole genome shotgun sequence.
UAGCUCAGUGGUUAAGAGCACUGACUGCUCUUCCAGAGGUCCUGGGUUCAAUUCCCAG